AUACCUUUCUCGGCCUUUUGGCUAAGAUCAAGUGUAGUAUCUGUUCUUAUCAGUUUAAUAUCUGAUACAUGAGUCAUUGACUCAUUUGAUAUUAAAUUAAUUUUUCAGGGAUAGAGUUUAUAUCAGUAGCUUGCUAUUGAAACUCUCAAGCAUCGCUUGUGUGUUGCACUACAACAUGGGCCUGGUGCAUCCCUC
rnacentral:snRNA from 2 species